CGGCGACCCCGCUGCCGCCACCUCCAGCCCGCCCCGCCCCGCGCCGCCCGCCCCUGCCGCCGCGGCCACCUCCAGCCAGCCCCGCGGCGGGCUCUCCCUCACCUCUCUAUCCCAGCCGCCAGGAGGCGACCGACCCCGGCGAUGCUCCAUCCGGUGCCGGGACGCCCGCCGGUCGGCGCCGGCGAGCACAGCACCAGGAACCACCGUUAAGCCUCAGAUCCCCCUCUCCUCCACGCUCCCGAGCUCGUCACUGUGCGCCGCCCGGGAGGGCUCGCGUUCGAUGCAGAAAGGCAGCGGACGGAGCUUGCAGGGCCCGGAUCCGUACGUGGCGAUUUUGGGGAGGAGGAGGGGUGUCGCUGGUGACGCGGAGGAAGGCCGGAGCGCGCUUCCCGCUCGGCUCCAUGGCGGCUCCUGGACAGAAAUCCAUGGCGGCUCCUGGACAGAAAGGAGAUAGGGAGGUGAGGGAGAAAGGGACAGUGAUGAGCUCCAGACAGAAAAGAAUCUCAUACUGCAAAAGAUUGAUGGUCAGAUCAAGUGUAUUAAUGAAAUGUGCAACAUGAUGUCUCUUGAUCUUAAGAAGACAUUAUAUGAAGUUCAUCCCAGCUUUGUUGAAUUGGAAAGAAUCAAAUCCAUGAGUGUAAGUGAUAGCACACUUGAUAGGCUUGCAGGAAAAGUUCAUGCACUAAAUCAAGAAAAGAAACAGAGGCUCCGGAAGGUCCUGGUGUUUGCUGUUCAUGUUAGUCAUUUAACAAAAGUAUAGCUACAAGAUCUUGGAGGCACACUCAUUGAGUUAUGGAGUCUAACGGACACACCAUUAGAUGAACAGAAAUGCUUUGAUCAUGUUACUUCUUUGAUUUCAGUCUCACAAAAUAUAGUGAUACCUCAAGGAUGCCUUGCACAUGACCUUAUUAAGAAGGUAGAGGUUGAGGUCAAGAGACUGAAGCAUUCGAAAGCUAGCAAAAUGAAAGAGCUUGUCUUAAAGAAAAUGAUUGACCUUGAAGAAAUCUACAGAAGUGUUCACAUGUAUAUUGACAGCGAUCAUGAGUGGUAGAUUCUCACUGAACUUAUUGAUUCUGGUUCACUUCUUUCCCAUGAUUUUCAUCCUGAAGAUAGAUAACUAAAGUUAUUAUAUACAGUUUUGUUUCCAUUAAGAACUACACGAUGCAUGAUUUGACUGGUGCUCCUUGGUUAUAUAACGUUGUUGUUUCUGUCUCAUCUUAAAAUUCUGUGAAUUUCUUAGUCAAAUGCAAUGGUAGGUUCUGCAACUGUCUUUCAACUUUGUGCCUUCUAAGUAUCAGCUUGACUAUUUAGGCAGAUCAAUUUGGAUAAAAAAUUGAAUAAGCUCUUAUGGAAACUAAAAUGAAAAAAUAUUACAAGUCAUUGCGUCUCUCCUUUAGAGGACGAUUGCGCAUUCAUGCUCUAGGAUUUUUUUACUGAGCUCAAGGUUGUGAACUAUUUAUUUCCAUUUCUUUGGUAGUGAUAUUUGGUUAAACUGGAGAUCCUAGCUAUAGAACAUCAGCGGUGUAAAGUAUAUGUAUUGCUGCUCAGAGGUUCUGUAGAUACAUCUUUACUGAUUUUUCAUCUUUAUCAUGUAUGCUUCAAUUCUUGCAUGCCAAAUAAACAUAAGUUCAUGUUUUAUUGUUUAGUUGUCUCAUGUUCGCUCUUCAUUAUUCUAUAUCAAAGUGAUGUCGUUCAAUGCGUUUGUCCCUUGCUGAUGUAGAAAUUGAUUUCCAUGAAGCAUGCCCUCAAGGUGCAACAAUAUCAUUCUUCCUGGUGUUGCAUUAAAUAUACCUCUUAUUUGUUAAAAAAAUCCUUUGGAUUUGGGAUUAGUAUAUUAGGUAGACAUCUUUUGGUUAACAACAGAUUUGAGUGCAGGGUAGAAUUCUUGGUUGAUUCUAGAAUUUCAUUGUAGAUUAGCUGGCAGAUUAGAACGUCUUUGGCAAGUUCUUUGUUGGUUAGGUCAAGCUCCCUUAGCACUGGACCCAGCAGACGCGUGUGCGUGUGCAGAUCUCACAUGCAUCUACUGCACCACUUGUUGUUGGAUGGCAGUGUGGUAUCCAAGCGUGUGGAAGGCCUAUCCGCCACCAUGGGGGCGCAACUCAGCUCCGAGGAGAACAGUUCCAAGGCCCAACUAACAGGCUACCACAAUUCCCCUAGACCACUCGCGGACUGUAAUUGAAUUGCUUUAUUGAUCUAUCUAUCAAUUAAUCAUAGGCUACAAUUAACCA